rnacentral:lncRNA from 1 species
UGGCCUAAGUUGACAUCGAACCAUAAAUAUCAGUAUGUAUAAGAUCCAAAAUAUCACUCAUCCUUUCUCCAUAUCUAGUAAAUGGAGUCUUGAUCAUCUUACCCAUGAGACAAGAUUCGCAAGUUUCAUAUGAUUCAAAAUCAUAAGGAUCAAAGAAUUUAUCUUUGUAUCACUUAUUAAUUCUUGACUCAUUAAUAUGACCA